rnacentral:rRNA from 1 species
AUUGAACGCUGGCGGCAGGCCUAACACAUGCAAGUCGAGCGAGCGGCGGACGGGUGAGUAAUGUCUGGGAAACUGCCUGAUGGAGGGGGAUAACUACUGGAAACGGUAGCUAAUACCGCAUACCAUCAGAUGUGCCCAGAUGGGAUUAGCUAGUAGGUGGGGUAAUGGCUCACCUAGGCGACGAUCCCUAGCUGGUCUGAGAGGAUGACCAGCCAAACUGGAACUGAGACACGGUCCAGACUCCUACGGGAGGCAGCAGUGGGUAGUAUUGCACAAUGGGCGCAAGCCUGAUGAAGCCAUGCCGCGUGUAUGAAGAAGGCCUUCGGGUUGUAAAGUACUUUAAGCGAGGAGGCGUUACUCGCAGAAGAAGCACCGGCUAACUCCGUGCCAGCAGCCGCGAUAAUAC